rnacentral:rRNA from 1 species
AUACGUAGGGGGCUAGCGUUAUCCGGAAUUACUGGGCGUAAAGGGUGCGUAGGUGGUUUUUUAAGUCAGAAGUGAAAGGCUACGGCUCAACCGUAGUAAGCUUUUGAAACUAGAGAACUUGAGUGCAGCAGAGGAGAGUAGAAUUCCUAGUGUAGCGGUGAAAUGCGUAGAUAUUAGGAGGAAUACCAGUAGCGAAGGGGGCUCUCUGGACUGUAACUGACACUGAGGCACGAAAGCGUGGGGAGCAAACAGGAUUAGAUACCCUGGUAGUCCACGCUGUAAACGAUGAGUACUAGGUGUCGGGGGUUACCCCCCUCGGUGCCGCAGCUAACGCAUUAAGUACUCCGCCUGGGAAGUACGCUCGCAAGAGUGAAACUCAAAUGAAUUGGCGGGG